AGCGAACGCUGGCGGCAGGCUUAACACAUGCAAGUCGAGCGGGCGUAGCAAUACGUCAGCGGCAGACGGGUGAGUAACGCGUGGGAACAUACCUUUUGGUUCGGAACAACACAGGGAAACUUGUGCUAAUACCGGAUAAGCCCUUACGGGGAAAGAUUUAUCGCCGAAAGAUUGGCCCGCGUCUGAUUAGCUAGUUGGUGAGGUAAUGGCUCACCAAGGCGACGAUCAGUAGCUGGCUGAGAGGAUGAUCAGCCACAUUGGGACUGAGACACGGCCCAAACUCCUACGGAGGCAGCAGUGGGGAAGAUUUUGGACAAUGGGCGCAAGACCUGAUCCAGCCAUGCCGCGUGAGUGAUGAAGGCCUUAGGGUUGUAAAG
rnacentral:rRNA from 1 species